UACCUUUUGUAUAAUGGGUCAGCGACUUAUAUUCUGUAGCAAGGUUAACCGUAUAGGGGAGCCGUAGGGAAACCGAGUCUUAACUGGGCGAAUGAGUUGCAGGGUAUAGACCCGAAACCCGGUGAUCUAUCCAUGGGCAGGUUGAAGGUUGGGUAACACUAACUGGAGGACCGAACCGACUAAUGUUGAAAAAUUAGCGGAUGACUUGUGGAUGGGGGUGAAAGGCCAAUCAAACCGGGAG
rnacentral:rRNA from 1 species